AUACGUAGGUGACAAGCGUUAUCCGGAUUUACUGGGCGUAAAGGGCGUGUAGGCGGUCUUGCAAGUCAGAAGUGAAAUUCCUGAGCUCAACUCGGGCGCUGCUUCUGAAACUGCAGGACUUGAGUGCUGGAGGGGAUAGCGGAAUUCCUAGUGGAGCGGUAAAAUGCGCAGAUAUUAGGAAUAACACCGGUGGCAAAGGCGGCUAUCUGGACAGUAACUGACGCUGAGGCGCGAAAGUGUGAGGAGCAAACAGGAUUAGAUACCCUGGUAGUCCACACCGUAAUCGAUGAAUGCUAGGUGUAGGAGGUAUCGACCCCCUCUGUGCCGCAGUUAACACAAUAAGUAUUCCGCCUGGGGAGUACGGCCGCAAGGUUGAAACUCAAAUGAAUUGACGGGG
rnacentral:rRNA from 1 species